rnacentral:rRNA from 1 species
UGGAUCCAGACUUUGAUUAUGGCUCAGGAUGAACGCUAGCUACAGGCUUAACACAUGCAAGUCGAGGGGAAACGACAUCGAAAGCUUGCUUUUGAUGGGCGUCGACCGGCGCACGGGUGAGUAACGCGUAUCCAACCUGCCCAUCACUUGGGGAUAACCUUGCGAAAGUAAGACUAAUACCCAAUGAUAUCUCUAGAAGACAUCUGAAAGAGAUUAAAGAUUUAUCGGUGAUGGAUGGGGAUGCGUCUGAUUAGCUUGUUGGCGGGGUAACGGCCCACCAAGGCGACGAUCAGUAGGGGUUCUGAGAGGAAGGUCCCCCACAUUGGAACUGAGACACGGUCCAAACUCCUACGGGAGGCAGCAGUGAGGAAUAUUGGUCAAUGGACGAGAGUCUGAACCAGCCAAGUAGCGUGCAGGAUGACGGCCCUAUGGGUUGUAAACUGCUUUUAUAAGGGAAUAAAGUGAGUCUCGUGAGACUUUUUGCAUGUACCUUAUGAAUAAGGACCGGCUAAUUCCGUGCCAGCAGCCGCGGUAAUACGGAAGGUCCGGGCGUUAUCCGGAUUUAUUGGGUUUAAAGGGAGCGUAGGCCGGAGAUUAAGCGUGUUGUGAAAUGUAGACGCUCAACGUCUGCACUGCAGCGCGAACUGGUUUCCUUGAGUACGCACAAAGUGGGCGGAAUUCGUGGUGUAGCGGUGAAAUGCUUAGAUAUCACGAAGAACUCCGAUUGCGAAGGCAGCUCACUGGAGCGCAACUGACGCUGAAGCUCGAAAGUGCGGGUAUCGAACAGGAUUAGAUACCCUGGUAGUCCGCACGGUAAACGAUGGAUGCCCGCUGUUGGUCUGAAUAGGUCAGCGGCCAAGCGAAAGCAUUAAGCAUCCCACCUGGGGAGUACGCCGGCAACGGUGCAACUC